rnacentral:rRNA from 1 species
GAUGAACGCUAGCUACAGGCUUAACACAUGCAAGUCGAGGGGUAACGAGAGGAAAGCUUGCUUUCCUUGUCGACGACCGGCGCACGGGUGAGUAACGCGUAUCCAACCUGCCCCCAACUAGGGAAUAACCUUGCGAAAGUAAGACUAAUACCCUAUAAUUUCCUCAGAUGUCAUCUGACGAGGAAUAAAGAUUUAUCGGUUGUGGAUGGGGAUGCGUCUGAUUAGCUUGUUGGCGGGGUAACGGCCCACCAAGGCAACGAUCAGUAGGGGCUCUGAGAGGAAGGUCCCCCACAUGGGGACUGGGACACGGUCCAAACUCCUACGGGAGGCAGCAGUGAGGAAUAUUGGUCAAUGGGCGGAAGCCUGAACCAGCCAAGUAGCGUGCAGGAUGACGGCCCUAUGGGUUGUAAACUGCUUUUAUACAGGAAUAAAGUUAGCCACGUGUGGUUAUUUGUAGGUACUGUAUGAAUAAGGACCGGCUAAUUCCGUGCCAGCCGCCGCAGUAA